rnacentral:rRNA from 1 species
AUUGAACGCUGGCGGCAUGCCUUACACAUGCAAGUCGAACGGUAACAGGUCUUUCGGGAUGCUGACGAGUGGCGAACGGGUGAGUAAUACAUCGGAACGUGCCUAGUAGUGGGGGAUAACUACUCGAAAGAGUGGCUAAUACCGCAUGACAUCUAAGGAUAAAAGCAGGGGACCUUCGGGCCUUGUGCUACUAGAGCGGCCGAUGGCAGAUUAGGUAGUUGGUGGGAUAAAAGCUUACCAAGCCAACGAUCUGUAGCUGGUCUGAGAGGACGAUCAGCCACACUGGGACUGAGACACGGCCCAGACUCCUACGGGAGGCAGCAGUGGGGAAUUUUGGACAAUGGGCGCAAGCCUGAUCCAGCAAUGCCGCGUGCAGGAUGAAGGCCUUCGGGUUGUAAACUGCUUUUGUACGGAACGAAAAGCUCUGGGCUAAUAUCUCGGAGUCAUGACGGUACCGUAAGAAUAAGCACCGGCUAACUACGUGCCAGCCGCCGCGGUAACAC